UGUAGUCAUAUGCUUGUCUCAAAGAUUAAGCCAUGCAUGUCUAAGUAUAAGCAUUUAUACAGCGAAACUGCGAAUGGCUCAUUACAUCAGUUAUAGUUUAUUUGAUAGUUACUGCUACAUGGAUACCGUGUGGUAAUUCUAGAGCUAAUACAUGCACCAGAGCCCGACUGGCAACGGAAGGGUUGUAUUUAUUAGACACAAAACCAAUGCAGGGGCGUCAGCUCCUGGGAGUUGGUGAGUCAUAGUAACUGCGCGAAUCGCAUGCCCUCGUGGCGGCGAUGAUUCAUUCAAAUUUCUGCCCUAUCAACUGUCGAUGUCAGGAUAGAGGCCUGACAUGGUUAUAACGGGUAACGGAGAAUUAGGGUUCGGUUCCGGAGAGGGAGCCUGAGAGAUGGCUACCACUUCUAAGGAAGGCAGCAGGCGCGCAAAUCACCCAAUCCUGAUACAGGGAGGUAGUGACAAUAAAUAACAAUACACGGCGUGAACAACGCUGUGUAAUUGGAAUGAGUACAAUUUAAACCCCUUAACGAGUAACAAUUGGAGGGCAAGUCUGGUUAAUCG
rnacentral:rRNA from 1 species